UUUCGGGAAACCCCGAAGAAAACCAUUUCUCUCUCUUCCGCUCGAGGCCGAGGACGACGGCAAAACAGAGCAAGGAUCGCCGGCCGAGUUCUCCUAGCUCCGGCCACCGUUUGCCUCCAAACCACCUCCAUCAGCUUCGCCUCACUCCUCCGAAGCCAUCUGUGGCAACCUUUCACGGCGGCACCGCCCCUAGCGCCGGCGGCGGCCCGGUUUCAAUUAAAGCUCGAUUUUGGGCAACGCCGGUUUUCUCCUAGCUCCGGCCACCAAAACUUCCGAUCCUUGGCUCCAUGAACUCCCCUCAACCUGCUGAUCAUCAUACUAGGAGGAUUGCACCUAGAGUGACCGGUUUCACUUUCGUCGGAGCUCUUGGGUUUUCCUUGAUGUUAUUAACAACUCUCUAGAAGGAAUCGAGGCCUGAAAUUGAAGUUUUUACGUCGAAAAUCGAGCUCGACGGUUUCUGGAAAUUCUCUCCGGUUUCUGGAAAAUUUCCGGCCACAUUCAUACUGUUCAAGGUGAUUGACGGUCUUCCUUGGUGAGCGGUUUUGGCGUGUUUUGUGAAAUUGAAGAUGCAGCGGGAUUAGAGCGGGAAAUCCUACAGGUCAGGAGAAUCGAGAAGGUGAUCAGGCUGCUUAGAGUAGUGGUAUUUGAGUUACAGCUUUAUUGUGAGGUUGUUAUACUCUGGAGCUUACAUUUAAAUUGGAGAGAGUGUGUUGUAUUAUUAAACUCUUGAGGAUUUGGUUUAUGUAUUAAUGAGUGAGGCGAGGUGUGUUUUAUUUGUAAGAAAAAAAUUCAGGACGUUUA